rnacentral:rRNA from 1 species
UACGUAGGGUGCGAGCGUUGUCCGGAAUUAUUGGGCGUAAAGAGCUCGUAGGCGGUUUGUUGCGUCGGCUGUGAAAACCUACAGCUUAACUGUGGGCCUGCAGCCGAUACGGGCAGACUUGAGUUCGGCAGGGGAGACUGGAAUUCCUGGUGUAGCGGUGAAAUGCGCAGAUAUCAGGAGGAACACCGGUGGCGAAGGCGGGUCUCUGGGCCGAUACUGACGCUGAGGAGCGAAAGCGUGGGGAGCGAACAGG